UACGUAGGGUGCAAGGCGUUGUCCGGAAUUAUUGGGCGUAAAGAGCUCGUAGGCGGUUUGUCGUCGUCUGCUGUGAAAACUCCGGGGCUUAACUCCGGGCCUGCAGUGGGUACGGGCAGACUAGAGUGCGGUAGGGGAGACUGGAAUUCCUGGUGUAGCGGUGAAAUGCGCAGAUAUCAGGAGGAACACCGGUGGCGAAGGCGGGGUCUCUGGGCCGUAACUGACGCUGAGGAGCGAAAGCGUGGGGAGCGAACAGG
rnacentral:rRNA from 1 species